UGGGGGAUAUUGCACAAUGGGGGAAACCCUGAUGCAGCGACGCCGCGUGAGUGAAGAAGUCAUUCGUGAUGUAAAGCUCUAUCAGCAGGGAAGAAAAUGACGGUACCUGACUAAGAAGCCCCGGCUAACUACGUGCCAGCAGCCGCGGUAAUACGUAGGGGGCAAGCGUUAUCCGGAUUCACUGGGCGUAAAGGGAGCGUAGACGGCAAUGCAAGUCUGGAGUGAAAGCCCAAGGCUCAACCAUGGGACUGCUCUGGAAACUGUAUGGCUGGAGUGCAGGAGAGGCAGGCGGAAUUCCUAGUGUAGCGGUGAAAUGCGUAGAUAUUAGGAGGAACACCAGUGGCGAAGGCGGCCUGCUGGACUGCAACUGACGUUGAGGCUCGAAAGCGUGGGGAGCAAACAGG
rnacentral:rRNA from 1 species